CACAUUCUCAAACAAUACCUUGUUAUUUGAAAUAAAUAAAUUAGACUCACAUUCAGUUUCUUUUAUUUUUUUGUACAACCGUUCGCUCAUGCUUUUCUGUUCUCUUCUGUUUAGUUUUUAUUUAUUUUUUUUUUUUAUUUUAUUUUAUUUUAUUUUUUUUUAUUUUAUUUUAUUUUAUUUUAUUUUAUUUUUUUUUUUUUUGUUUUUUUUUUUUUUUUUUUUUUUUUUUUUUGUUACUUGGAUAGACAUUUACCCAUUUAUCCCAAACGCAGUAUUAUAUACAUAUACAUUCAUUCGAUUGACUUAAAAAAAAAAUUAAUAAGGGGGUAUACGCAUAAUUAUAUGAAGGAAAUUAUCGAACUGAGUAAAAUUCGAUGUUAGCCAGAAUAAUGGAGUUUUUAAAGGAAUUUGUAUACCAUUUAUAAUAAUAAACAUAUAAGAACUAAAAAUUAAAUAAUCAUUUUCGAAAAAAUAAAAAACUUUUUCAUUCUUUAAAUAGUUGUUAUACAUUUUUUUAUUAAUUUUUUUAUUAAUUUUUUUAUUAAUUUGUGGAUUCAUAUGUUUAUUAUUAAUUUCGUUUACUGUUUUUAUUACCGAUAUAUUAUUUCCGUUAUGUUCGUUUUUUUUUAAUGUUUUUAAGUUCUUUUCAUUAGUUGGUAAAGGAUGGGAAGUAACUAAUUCAUCUGUUAGAUGAUAUUUUUUUAUUCCUUCCAUGUCGUUAGCUUUUAUCACUUCUAUAUGUUCAACUUUAAUCACAUUCUCUUUUUGCAAAGUGAAUAAUUUAUCUUUUACAUCAUUUACAUUUUUUACAUCAUUUACAUCAUUUACAUCUUUUACAUCUUUUACAUCUUUUACAUCUUUUACAUCUUUUACAUCAUUUACAUUUUUUACAUCAUUUACAUUUUUUACAUCUUUUACAUCAUUUACAUUUUUUACAUCAUUUACAUCUUUUACAUCAUUUACAUUUUUUACAUUUUUUACAACUUUUACAAACUCAGGAAACUGUUCAUGUAAAAAAUCACCUAAAGUGUUUAUAUGAACACUUGUUAUAGCAUUAGAUUUAUUGUUUUCAUAUUUUAUUUUAAAUAAAGGAUAUUUUGUUUGUAUUUUAUUAUAUGGU
rnacentral:lncRNA from 1 species